rnacentral:sRNA from 1 species
AGCAGCCGCGGUAAUUCCAGCUCCAAUAGCGUAUAUUAAAGUUGCUGCAGUUAAAAAGCUCGUAGUUGAAUUUCGGGACCAAUAUGUCGGUCGUGCUUCGGUACGUACUGUCAUUAUUGGUUUCUCCCUUCUGAAGAACCUUGAUGUCAUUAAUUUGGUGUCUUGGGGAAUCAGGACUGUUACUUUGAAAAAAUUAGAGUGUUUAAAGCAGGCUCGCGCUUGAAUACAUUAGCAUGGAAUAAUGAAAUAGGACGUUUGAUUCUAUUUUGUUGGUUUCUAGGAUCGACGUAAUGAUUAAUAGGGAUAGUUGGGGGCAUUAGUAUUCAAUUGUCAGAGGUGAAAUUCUUGGAUUUAUUGAAGACUAACUACUGCGAAAGCAUUUGCCAAGGAUGUUUUCAUUAAUCAAGAACGAAAGUUAGGGGAUCGAAGACGAUCAGAUACCGUCGUAGUCUUAACCAUAAACUAUGCCGACUAGGGAUCGGAUGAUGUUAAUUUUUUAAUUAGAUCA